GGAGGAUUCGCAUAGUGGCCUAGUGCGCACGCUUGGAAAGCGUGUUGGGUGCAAGCCCUCAGGGGUUCGAAUCCCCUAUCCUCCGCCA
rnacentral:tRNA from 1 species